rnacentral:rRNA from 1 species
GACGAACGCUGGCGGCGUGCUUAACACAUGCAAGUCGAACGGAAAGGCCCUGCUUUUGUGGGGUGCUCGAGUGGCGAACGGGUGAGUAACACGUGAGUAACCUGCCCUUGACUUUGGGAUAACUUCAGGAAACUGGGGCUAAUACCGGAUAGGAGCUCCUGCUGCAUGGUGGGGGUUGGAAAGUUUCGGCGGUUGGGGAUGGACUCGCGGCUUAUCAGCUUGUUGGUGGGGUAGUGGCUUACCGAGGCUUUGACGGGUAGCCGGCCUGAGAGGGUGACCGGCCACAUUGGGACUGAGAUACGGCCCAGACUCCUACGGGAGGCAGCAGUGGGGAAUAUUGCACAAUGGGCGGAAGCCUGAUGCAGCAACGCCGCGUGCGGGAUGACGGCCUUCGGGUUGUAAACCGCUUUCGCCUGUGACGAAGCGUGAGUGACGGUAACGGGUAAAGAAGCACCGGCUAACUACGUG